UCAUUGUUGGAAUAAAUGCCCUCACGGGUACUAUCCAAAAACCCUUUGUGAAUACUACUUAAUCGUUGCCUCGGCAUAGUUGGCUUCCUACGGAAGCCCCUUUUCCCUCUGGAAAAAGGAGCAGGCUUGCCGGUGGCCCUAUAAAUUCUUGUUUUUGUAAUAUCAUCUGAGUAAACAAACAAAAUAAAUCAAAACUUUCAACAACGGAUCUCUUGGUUCUGGCAUCGAUGAAGAACGCAGCGAAAUGCGAUAAGUAAUGUGAAUUGCAGAAUUCAGUGAAUCAUCGAAUCUUUGAACGCACAUUGCGCCCGGUGGUAUUCCACCGGGCAUGCCUGUUCGAGCGUCAUUUCAACCCUCAAAGCUUGCUUUGGUGUUGGAGGAAUACCUGUAAAAGGGUACCCUCUGAAAUUUAGUGGCGGGCUCGCUAGAAUUUUGAGCGUAGUAAUUUUACCUCGUUUUUAAAGACUAGUGGGUUUCCAGCCGUAAAACCCCCCAACUUUCUGA
rnacentral:rRNA from 1 species